rnacentral:rRNA from 1 species
AUUGAACGCUGGCGGUAUGCUUAACACAUGCAAGUCGAACGGUAACAGAACUAGCUUGCUAGUUGCUGACGAGUGGCGGACGGGUGAGUAAUGCUUGGGAACAUGCCAAAACGUGGGGGACAACAGUUGGAAACGACUGCUAAUACCGCAUAAUAUCUUCGGAUCAAAGCAGGGGACCUUCGGGCCUUGCGCGUUUUGAGUGGCCCAAGUGGGAUUAGCUAGUUGGUAAGGUAAUGGCUUACCAAGGCGACGAUCCCUAGCUGGUCUUAGAGGAUGACCAGCCACACUGGAACUGAGACACGGUCCAGACUCCUACGGGAGGCAGCAGUGGGGAAUAUUGCACAAUGGAGGAAACUCUGAUGCAGCCAUGCCGCGUGUGUGAAGAAGGCUUUCGGGUUGUAAAGCACUUUCAGUGGGGAGGAAAGGGUGUAUGUUAAUAGCAUGUGCAUCUGUGACGUUACCCACAGAAGAAGCACCGGCUAACUCCGUGCCAGCAGCCGCGGUAAUACGGAGGGUGCGAGCGUUAAUCGGAAUUACUGGGCGUAAAGCGCGCGUAGGUGGUUAAUUAAGUCAGAUGUGAAAGCCCAGGGCUCAACCUUGGAACUGCAUUUGAAACUGGUUAACUAGAGUUUUGUAGAGGGUGGUAGAAUUUCAGGUGUAGCGGUGAAAUGCGUAGAGAUCUGAAGGAAUACCAGUGGCGAAGGCGGCCACCUGGACAAAGACUGACACUGAGGCGCGAAGGCGUGGGGAGCAAACGGGAUUAGAUACCCCGGUAGUCCACGCAGUAAACGAUGUCUAUUAGAAGUUUGUGGCUAUAUGCCGUGGGUUUCAAAGCUAACGCAUUAAAUAGACCGCCUGGGGAGUACGGCCGCAAGGUUAAAACUCAAAUGAAUUGACGGGGGCCCGCACAAGCGGUGGAGCAUGUGGUUUAAUUCGAUGCAACGCGAAGAACCUUACCAUCCCUUGACAUCCAGAGAAUCACCUAGAGAUAGAUGAGUGCCUUCGGGAACUCUGAGACAGGUGCUGCAUGGCUGUCGUCAGCUCGUGUUGUGAAAUGUUGGGUUAAGUCCCGCAACGAGCGCAACCCUUAUCCUUACUUGCCAGCGGGUUAUGCCGGGAACUUUAGGGAGACUGCCGGUGAUAAACCGGAGGAAGGUGGGGACGACGUCAAGUCAUCAUGGCCCUUACGGGAUGGGCUACACACGUGCUACAAUGGCAGAUACAAAGGGUUGCUAACCAGCGAUGGUAUGCGAAUCUCAUAAAGUCUGUCGUAGUCCGGAUCGGAGUCUGCAACUCGACUCCGUGAAGUUGGAAUCGCUAGUAAUCGUGGAUCAGAAUGCCACGGUGAAUACGUUCCCGGGCCUUGUACACACCGCCCGUCACACCAUGGGAGUGGGCUGCACCAGAAGUCAUUAGCUUAACCUUUCGGGGAUGGCGAUGACCACGGUGUGGUUCAUGACUGGGGUGAAGUCGUAACAAGGUAGCCCUAGGGGAACCUGGGGCUGGAUCACCUCCUUA